GGCUCCAUCUUCUCUCUUUCUCAUGUAUAUUGAACGACUCCAUCUUUUCUCUCUUUCGCAGAACACCACCGAUUUGAAGAUUAAAUCUGGGAGAUAUGACGUCGAAUAAGUUCGUUUUUCCGAUUCAACAACCAUCAGUUUAUAGGGAAUCAAGUCUGCAAAGAUCGGUGGCUACGGAGAAGAGUUCCCGGCUGUAGAUGGUGAUUGACGUAGGUUCCGAUAGACAAACUGAGGCUUAAGUAAUGGUAGAGGUUUCCCACUAGCGCACUCUUUAUAACUUUGAAGGUAUGG